rnacentral:antisense_RNA from 1 species
CUCACUUGAGCACAAUCCAAGAUGAAAGUUUCUGGGUUGUGUCCCCUUCGCUUCCUCUCACCCUCGCUCCCCCGCGGAGCCAAGGAGCCAGCAAUUGUGCAAGAGGAGCCCGGCGCACAGGGCGCGUAUCACGGAGCGCAUGGUACGAGCCGCCGGCUCCGGUGAUUAAUUAUCAGUAACCGAUGGCCUCGCGCUACCACGUCGGCUUUCCCAGCAGAGCCAGCAAGCCGAACGCCUCCAGCGCGGCCGGGACGGAGGAGCGGCUCUGUGGAAGACGCCGAGGCUGCGCCCGAGUCUGAACGAAGCUGCCUCCAGCCACAUGAAGUCAGUAGGGCCGUUCUGAGGGGCCCCAGAUUUGAUGACUGUUUUUUAGGUUGCGGAACCUACUCCGAGAGAGCAAACACUUUGGACGAAGUGAUUCACAUUGAUAGAAAGAUACAUUUGUUGGGUGGUGGCUUCUUUCAUUCUCAACAGAAAACAAAGAAAUAAAUUAAGUCUUCCCCUGA